AAUCUGCUUGUUCAGUACACAACGAUAAGGUUUACUGCUUGUUCAGCUCGUUAGGUAUGGACACACCAUUGGUAGGCGGUAAUGCACGUCAUAGUUAGAAAACCCAGCGAUUGGCCUGUUACUUCCGAUUGACGUCAUGUCUAUGUUAAUGACGUUCACACUUAGAGUUCGACAGUGGAAUCUCAUCAGUCAGGAGAUCAGACAACAACCACCUCCCGUUCUGUUCUAACGUUGCCCUGUUACAAGAAAAUAGUUUUAGCCGUACUGUCGUGAAAGGUGUGUGAGUAAGAGAGUUAAUUUAUCGUGGUCGGGUGUUAACAUGUUGUUACCCACUUGAAAAAUGUAUUUUGUUAAACAAAAGACUAUAGGAAAACCCAUCUUUAUUCACCCGAAGACAAAUAAUAAUAAUAAGGGUGAUUAACUAUAUUCUACAGUGGAUUUGUUGGGGUCAACAGUGAGAAUUAAGAGUAACUAAUCAUCAACUCUGCUAAUUAAUGAUACCCUAUUGAUUUUACAGAUCGAGUCAUCAAUAAGCUGUCAACAGCCACCGUUGCAAGCGAGCUAUUGGACAUACAAAAGCUAUUAUAGGCAUCCCCACACCAAGUUAUACUGUAUCCAUCAGUUUCAUUUUGUAGAUACACCAGUGUGCCUGGUCCCAGGCCUAUCCCAAGAUCGGAAAUAAUGAGCUCUGAGCUCGUUCCGUAGGGUAACGUCUGGCUGUCUCGUCAGAGACUGCAGCAGAUCAAACAGUGAAACCUGGAGCUCGGUCACCCUUGGACAUUUUGGAAAUGUCGAAGGCAGCUAAGAGCCAUCACAUAUAUUAAUUAAUGCCUAUUAAAAAUGAUCGAGUCAUCAAUAAGCUGUCAACAGCCACCGUUGCAAGCGAGCUAUUGGACAUACAAAAGCUAUUAUAGGCAUCCCCACAGCAAGUUAUACUGUAUCCAUCAGUUUCAUUUUGUAGAUACACCAGUCGACAUAAGGAAGAGAAACCAUGCACAUGUCCGUGUCACUUGUUGGUCACAGUCAACUUCCCAACAAUUUGGGAGUGAGGGGAGCGAAGGUUAGAAUAUUUAGAGGUCCUGGAGGUAAAGCUUAUAAUUUUUGGAAUGAUGAGCGUGUGCUCUGUACUGAAUUGGGAACAUGACCUGUGUAUUUUAUGGAUAGGCUCUAAUGACAUAGAUGAUGAUUCUGAAGUGCAGGAAAUAGUAGACGAUAUAGUGUCCAUCAGGGACUCAUAGUUGAAAACUGUGGAGCUGAUGUAAUGGUAGUUCUGGUGGAACCACGAUACUACCCAGAUGAUUACCCAGUGUCUAGUGACCGGUAUCGUCAUAUUCAAAGGGGCAUAAAUCGUAAACUAAAGAGAGAAUUGUCAAAUGAUAGUUUCAUUCAGUUUAACAUGCCUGUAUAUGAAGAGCUGUUGAGCUCAGAUGGGGUACAUUGGACUUAUGAAGGGAAGCAGAUGAUUAAAAAGAAACUCAGAAAUGUCAUCCGGAGAUACUUGAACUGAGACGAUAGCUAGUAAAUACCUGAAAAGACUCCUGCUACAUUAAAGGGUUAAGUAAAAGGGAAAGUGUGAUUUAAAACCAACUGUUGUCUAGCAGGUUAUGUGUAUUUAGAUAAGGACUAUAUAUAGGUCCACCAUCUAAGAAUGUGAAAUCCCAUACAGUGAAUUAUGAGUAGCAUCUUAGUUAUGGAAAAUUUAUUUUAGUAAGUAUAAGCAUGUUAAUUAACUGAUAUUCAUGAAAUAUAUGUAUAAGUAAUAUGCAAUCUUAAAAUUUAAGAAAGAAAAAAAAAUACAUGAUAUAUGUAUGUAUAUAUUUAUAUCUUUGUCACCAUAAUUUUGUUAAGUGUUAACAAAUAUUAAUUAAUUAGUAUAGAUAUUUCAAAACUAUCAGAAAAAAAAAUGCGUGAUUUAUGUAUCUUUAUAUUCGUCACCGUGCACAGUUUUAUUGUGUCAACAAAUAUUAAUUAUUUGAUAUUCAGGGAAUAUAUGUAGGCAAUAUAAAUUU